rnacentral:rRNA from 1 species
CAAGGGCAGUUCAAUCAUCAGCCUCAGUUUCCUACCCUCAACCAAUUCAUUGCAAAUCAGCCGAAGUCUUUCAGCUACUGUGCCGAGACCACAGACGCCGAUGAUUGGCUCGUGGAUAUCAACAAGCAUUUCGAAUGCAGCAAUGUCAGGCCUGAGGACUAUGUUAAGUUCGCUUCUUUUCAGCUCAAGGAUCAAGCAGCUGAUUGGUUCCAGCAAUACAAGGAUUCCAGAGGUGGUCGAGUGAUUACUUGGACUGAUUUCUGUCGGGACUUUAAAGCUCACCAUAUUCCUACCAGUGUUGUUGAGAGCAAGCGUGAGGAGUUCCGCAAUCUCAAGCAAGGUGGCCUUAGAGAGGAUCUGUAG